GAUGAACGCUGGCGGCGUGCCUAAUACAUGCAAGUCGAGCGAACGGACGAGAAGCUUGCUUCUCUGAUGUUAGCGGCGGACGGGUGAGUAACACGUGGAUAACCUACCUAUAAGACUGGGAUAACUUCGGGAAACCGCAGCUAAUACCGGAUGAUAUUUUGAACCGCAUGGUUCAAAAGUGAAAGACGGUCUUGCUGUCACUUAUAGAUGGAUCCGCGCUGCAUUAGCUAGUUGGUAAGGUAACGGCUUACCAAGGCAACGAUGCAUAGCCGACCUGAGAGGGUGAUCGGCCACACUGGAACUGAGACACGGUCCAGACUCCUACGGGAGGCAGCAGUAGGGAAUCUUCCGCAAUGGGCGAAAGCCUGACGGAGCAACGCCGCGUGAGUGAUGAAGGUCUUCGGAUCGUAAAACUCUGUUAUUAGGGAAGAACAUAUGUGUAAGUAACUGUGCACAUCUUGACGGUACCUAAUCAGAAAGCCACGGCUAACUACGUG
rnacentral:rRNA from 1 species